GGCCAUGUCCAUCAUGAACUCCUUCAUCAACGACAUCUUCGAGAAGCUCGCCGCGGAGGCCGCCAAGCUCGCCCGGUACAACAAGAAGCCCACCAUCACCUCCCGCGAGAUCCAGACCUCCGUCCGCCUCGUCCUCCCCGGCGAGCUCGCCAAGCACGCCGUCUCGGAGGGUACCAAGGCCGUCACCAAGUUCACCUCGUCUUAGCCGCCUUGUUGUAGGCGUCGUUGUUGUCUGCUUCUCAAGCAAGCACUGUCAUGUGCCGCUUCUCAUGGCAGUAGUGGUGGUUGGCUGGUGUGUGUAAGUGGUGCAGUGGCUUUUGCCUGUGUUAUGAAUUUAGUCAUGGUGGUAAUGUAUUGCUAUGGUUAUUUGAAUGUUGAUCAGUGAUCUUAUGUCCGCCUACCAUAUAUGUCAGUUGUUAAUCUUGUUAGGUCUUAUUCGGUUAGCUUUCAAUCUAUAUAGAUUGAGUGAGAUUGAGUGAGUUUAAAUCUCAAACAAGUCAAAUUUUUUUUAAAUUUUUUCAAUCCCAUCCAAUCUAUGUAUAAUGGGAAUAAGCAAAGAAGGUAUGGUGUGGUUCUACUAACAACAGCUCAAUCUGAUACGUUCUUUAAAGCCA
rnacentral:lncRNA from 1 species